rnacentral:rRNA from 1 species
AACGCGAAGAACCUUACCCAGGCUUGAACAGCGAGUGACCAACUACGAAAGUGGUCUUCCGCAAGGACACUCGUAGAGGUGCUGCAUGGCUGUCGUCAGCUCGUGUCGUGAGAUGUUGGGUUAAGUCCCGCAACGAGCGCAACCCUUGUCUUCUGUUGCCAUCAGGUUAUGCUGGGCACUCUGGAGAGACUGCCGGUGAUAAACCGGAGGAAGGUGGGGAUGACGUCAAGUCAGCAUGGCCUUUAUGUCUGGGGCUACACACGUGCUACAAUGGCGGAUACAAAGCGUCGCGAGCCCGCGAGGGGGAGCUAAUCGCAUAAAGUCCGUCUCAGUUCGGAUAGCAGGCUGCAACUCGCCUGCUUGAAGUCGGAAUCGCUAGUAAUCGCGGAUCAGCACGCCGCGGUGAAUACGUUCCCGGGCCUUGUACACACCGACGCAC